GAGAGUCCGAGCACGGGGAGAAGGCGCUGGAGUCGGGCGAGGAGCAGGACUUGGGCGAGUUGUUGUCGUUGAGCGGGUAGGGGAAGACCACGGAGGGGUCGAUGCACUCGGAGGCGGCGGCGCUCAUGUCCUGCAGACCCAUAUCUCUCAUCUGAUUAUUCUUUCUAAAAGUCCAAAAUGCCAACUUCUAAAAAAGGAGCAGGCGGGCGAAUGGCAAACGCCUUGGAGAUCCGCGGGCGGUACACGCGCGGCAGCGUCUGUCUGCGGCUGUCAGAAAUUCUCCAUCUCUCGAAUCUCAUCUUGACAAGUCUACCCCGAUCCAGUUCUGGUUGGUCCCCACCCUACCCCGACCCACCACAACUACUCCGAGCAAAGUGUCAGUAGCAAGAAUGAGAGAAAAAGACACCCCGAUUUG